rnacentral:lncRNA from 1 species
UUUUUUACUUGCUUCUCUUGUUAAGUUUCUGACGCAACCGAAAUCCACAAAUUCAAACAGUUUCUCCGUCGCUAAUUUCUCGACUCACCGUGAAAUCGAACAGUUUCUUCGUAGAUUCCGUCCGGUUUCAAAGCCCGAAAUAACUAAAAUAACUUGAAUCGUCUCGGAAGUACUGAACAACAGAAGGAUGAGAUAUCGGCGGUUAGCUCGAAGAAGUUUCUCUCAAACAGGUGUUCCAUUAGAUUUCCCCUUUUAUCAUCUGUCAUACGUUACGAGAUUCUUCGAGAAUUAGAAAAGGAGAAAAUACAGAACGACAAGGGUAGUAUGAGUCCGAGUCCAUUGUGGUUCGUGUCAGGUUUGUAUUUCCCAUAGCCAUCGUUUCCGUAGUAAAAAACGGUUGCGGUUUUGCACAUUCAAUCUUCAUUGCUUCAUUAUAAUUAAUAAUGUGGUCUCGAUUGAAGAUGUAAUUGCAAGACUGUUUGUCGGAUUAUUGUACCAAGAAAGUCAUUGGACUACCGCAGAUGAAGUCAAAUGUGAUCAAACUUGGACAUCAGUCACGUAAAUCUUGAAGAAACAGAACAUAAUCCCAGAUUGUCUAAAGAAGCGCUUUUAUCAUGUGUGAUCCAAAGAAGACGUAUCGGGUGUGUUGUAGUUUGGAAAGAUGACCGAAUGCGGUGUGUACGUUAAAUACCGUUUACCGCUUUUUUAGUUGCUUCUCUUGUUAAGUUUCUGAACCAACCGAAAUCCACAAAUACAAACAGUUUCUCCGUCGCUAAUUUCUC